AAGGGUAUAGCUCAGUGGUAGAGCGCUUGCUUAGCACGGAAAAUGUCCUGGGUCCAAUCCCUAGUACCUCCA
rnacentral:tRNA from 1 species